UACGAAGGGGGCUAGCGUUGCUCGGAAUCACUGGGCGUAAAGGGUGCGUAGGCGGGUCUUUAAGUCAGGGGUGAAAUCCUGGAGCUCAACUCCAGAACUGCCUUUGAUACUGAAGAUCUUGAGUUCGGGAGAGGUGAGUGAACUGCGAGUGUAGAGGUGAAAUUCGUAGAUAUCGCAAGAACACCAGUGGCGAAGGCGGCUCACUGGCCCGAUACUGACGCUGAGGCACGGAAAGCGUGGGGAGCAAACAGGG
rnacentral:rRNA from 1 species